rnacentral:rRNA from 1 species
AUUGAACGCUGGCGGCAGGCCUAACACAUGCAAGUCGAGCGGAGAGGCGGACGGGUACGUGUUACCUAGGAAUCUGCCUCGGAGUGAGGGAUAACGUUCGGAAACGGAAGCUAAUGCCACAUACUCUCAGCUUCGCCUAGGGCCGAUUAGCUAGAUGGUGCGGUAAUGGCUCACCAAGGCUAAGAUCCGUAACUGGUCUGAGAGGAUGAUCAGGCACACUGGAACUGAGACACGGUCCAGACUCCUACGGGAGGCAGCAGUGGGGAAUAUUGGACAAUGGGCGAAAGCCUGAUGCAGCCAUGCCGCGUGUGUGAAGAAGGUCUUCGGAUUGUAAAGCACUUUAAGUGGGGAGGCGUUACCGACAGAAUAAGCACCGGCUAACUCUGUGCCAGCAGCCGCGGUAAUUC